rnacentral:rRNA from 1 species
GACGAACGCUGGCGGCGUGCCUAAUACAUGCAAGUAGAACGCUGAAGAGAGGAGCUUGCUCUUCUUGGAUGAGUUGCGAACGGGUGAGUAACGCGUAGGUAACCUGCCUUGUAGCGGGGGAUAACUAUUGGAAACGAUAGCUAAUACCGCAUAACAAUGGAUGACACAUGUCAUUUAUUUGAAAGGGGCAAUUGCUCCACUACAAGAUGGACCUGCGUUGUAUUAGCUAGUAGGUGAGGUAAUGGCUCACCUAGGCGACGAUACAUAGCCGACCUGAGAGGGGGAUCGGCCACACUGGGACUGAGACACGGCCCAGACUCCUACGGGAGGCAGCAGUAGGGAAUCUUCGGCAAUGGGGGCAACCCUGACCGAGCAACGCCGCGUGAGUGAAGAAGGUUUUCGGAUCGUAAAGCUCUGUUGUAAGUCAAGAACGGGUGCGAGGGUGGAAAGUUCACACUGUGACGGUAGCUUACCAGAAAGGGACGGCUAACUACGUG